GUUUAUUAACGUUCGAACUGUGACACCAUUAAUAUCACACAUAUUUGUAAAGAAACUGGUUUAAUAUUAUGUUUUGUUGUUUUAAUCUGAAACAGUUCAGACCAGCGAAGAUGAGAUCACUUACGCUGAGCCGAUGUUCUACAAAAAGCAACAUAAAUCGAACAGUAAAGAGGAUGAUGUCGUGGUGUAUGCACCUCUUGCCACAAGAAGAUGAUCAAACUUCAUUCGCACCUCCUGAAACGUCCUCAGGUUCAGAGUCUAUGGUUGAGUUCUGUGAUUGGUGAAAAUCAACACAUUUAGUACUAAUUUUGCCAAAGGAAGAAAAAAGAGAGAAUAAUGUAUAUUUACAUAGGUGACAAAAGAACAUAUUUAUUUACAGCAAAAUAUUUCAGCUACAGUUUUGCUCUAGUUUUCCUUUGUAUGAUCACGAUAUUCAAGCAGACAUACAGCAGGAUCAAAUGUGAUAAAUUAAAGAUUGGUUAAUGAAUUGCUCUCCAAAAAAACUUCAACAGACGUUGUAUUAUAAUACAAGCUCUGUGUACCAAAUUAUCUAAAUAAUAAAUUAUUUAAAUCGUAUGAUGCAUUGUGUGGCAUUGUCAUGCAUGUCUCCUAAAGUCCCACAUAAAAUUGUGACAGAUUGUGUAUAUCUUCAAGCACAUAACAGAUGAAAAUUCUCAUUAAAAUGAGUCAACGUGAACUCUUUUGUAGUCCUGUAUAUAUACUUUCCUGUAUAUAUACUAUACUUUAUAUUAUUUACAGCUGUACAUAGAUUUGGUUUGAUCUGUCCAGUGGACAAACAGCUUUUGCAUGAGCAUGUGUCUACUGGAGGGUUGUGGCUGAUGUUGGUUUGUGUGAAUAGUGUGGUUACAGGGUUUUUAUUUUUUUUAUUUUUUAUUUUUUUCACAGUUUGACUUCUGCUCUAAGCAAAACCACUUUACUGUGAAAUACUGCAUCUGACUGAUACUGUAUAUGUGUCAUGUCUUCUAAGUAAAGAGUAAUUGCUGAAUUUAUUACAUUUUAGAGGGGAUGUACUCAUUUAUACUGAGCAACGUGCAUAUGUUCUUGAAUACCAAUCUUACCAUUUCACAUAAUCUUUCAUAGAGUCAGAUCUCACAUUAUCACUUUGACUUGUGAGUCACUUCUUAUGUGCUCGUGCAUAGUUUGCUAGUCUGCUUGUUUAUUAAAGUAUUUUACAUAAGUUAACAUUAGUGGUAACAUGUAGCGUAAGAUGGGGUAAGAUUCCACCCUUAAAAACAAUGUACAUUUACUUUUAAAUUUUAUCAUAUUUAGAUUUAUGUUUAGCAAGUGCAGGAUGAUGAUGUUGAUACAGACAGAGUACAGACAAAUUCACUUUAUGUGUAACACUGAAGAUAAAAAAUGAACAACUUAAAAAUUAAGAAGACAUUAUUAAACGUCUCCCACUCAAACUCAAUGAGUUAUUACAUUUAUAAUUAUGUCUAUUUUUUUUUAUUGUAUUGCUAUAGUUAUUAUUAUUAUUAUUAUUUAUUUAUUUAUGUACAUUUAUUUUCAGUUCUCUUUAUUAUUAGUGUUAGAUUUCAUUUUAUUGUAUAGCUACACUAUUUCUGUACUUUCUUCUGCACUGGAAGCUCCAGACACCAAGACAAGUUCCUUAUGUGUGUAAACACCCUUCACAAUAGAGCCCUUUCUGAUUUCUGAUCAGGACUAAGACUCUGACUCAACAAUGUGGUCUCAGUCCCAACACUAGAGAGCUGCAUUACACAAUGUGCAUUUAUUUUGUUACUAUUUAUUUUUCAGUUUCACUUUAUUAUUAGUGUUAUAUUUCAUUGUAUUGUACAUCUGUAUUAUGUCUGCACGUUCUUCUGCACUGGAAGCUCCAGACACCAAGACAAGUUCCUUGUGUGUAAACACCCUUCACAAUAAAGCCCUUUCUGAUUUCUGAAAGGACUAAGACUCAACAAAGUGGUCUCGGUCCCAACACUAAAGAGCUGCAUUACACUUUUGUGCUUUUGUUAUAAAUUGCCUGGAACAUUUCAUUUAUACAAAAUAUAAUAUGAAAAUGUAAUUUUGUAACAAAAUAUAUAUAUAUUUUAAACAAAUGUAUUUUUACUCAGUUCAUUAAUGUUUUUACUUCACAUUUGUGUCGUUUUUGGAGGAUUUAUGAUAUUUUUAAAAUGUAUAUAAAUAAAUUAUAAAAU
rnacentral:lncRNA from 1 species